GUGGGAAGGGUUUGGGAUGAGGUUUGGAAAAUGGAGCUGCUGGGGGUGAGCGCCUGAGAGGAGUGAAGCGGUUCCUGGACUUGGGUGGUGGGUGGAUCUUGGAUGAUGGUUGGAUCCUGGAUCACAGUUGGACCUUGGAUGAUGGUUGGAUCUUGGACAGUGUUUGGAUCUUGGAUGAGAUUGGAUCUUGGAUGAUGGUUGGAUCUUGGAUGAUGGUUGGAUCUUGGAUGAGGUUUGGAUCUUGGACAGUGUUUAUAUCUUGGAUCACGUUUGGAUCUUGGAUGAGAUUUGGAUCGUGGAUGGUGAUUGGAUUUUGGAGCACGGUUGGAUCUUGGAUGGUUGGACCUUGGAUAACCUUCGGAUCUUGGAUGAGGUUUUCAUGUUGGAUGGUGGCUGGAUCUUGGAUCGAGGUUGGAUCGUGCGUGAUGGUGGCACCUUGGAGGAUGUUUGGAUCUUGGAUGAAGUUUGGAAGCUUUUUUGGGGGGAAAAAUCCAAAUUUCCAGUCAGGAUGAAACAGAACUCGUGGAUUCUCCACUGCCAAACCCUGUAAAUAGGAAGGGACGUGACAAAACUGACUUAAUUCAUUNAAUUUGAUGAUUUGGAAUUUUUAU
rnacentral:lncRNA from 1 species